AUAGUGUAUAUGCACAACAUUUAUGUUUGAACCAGGUCAGAGAAGGAAUUCAGCAGCCUUAAGAGCCUCUAAAUGUGUGUGCUUUUUUAUUAUAUUAU
rnacentral:SRP_RNA from 1 species